rnacentral:rRNA from 1 species
UGCGGGGGGAGCAAGCGUUGUUCGGAUUUACUGGGCGUAAAGGGCGCGUAGGCGGCCACCGCAAGUCAAUUGUGAAAUCUCCGGGCUUAACUCGGAAAGGUCAACUGAUACUGCGGGGCUAGAGUGCGGAAGGGGCAACUGGAAUUCUCGGUGUAGCGGUGAAAUGCGUAGAUAUCGAGAGGAACACCUGCGGCGAAGGCGGGUUGCUGGGCCGACACUGACGCUGAUGCGCGAAAGCCAGGGGAGCGAACGGG